rnacentral:misc_RNA from 1 species
GAUGAAGAACGUAGCGAAAUGCGAUAAGUAAUGCGAAUUGCAGAAUUUCCGUGAGUCAUCGAAUCUUUGAACGCACAUUGCGCCCACUGGUAUUCCGGUGGGCAUGCCUGUUCGAGCGUCAUUUGAAACCUCAAGCUCAGCUUGGUGUUGGGUGUCUGUCCCCGCCUCACCGCGGGGACUCGCCUCAAAAUCAUUGGCGGCCGGUACGUUGGCUUCGAGCGCAGCAGAAACGCGAACUCGAGGCCCGGCGGAUCGGCGACCAGAAGUCACUUCUUCACAGUUUGACCUCGGAUCAGGUAGGGAUACCCGCUGAACUUAAGCAUAUCGAUAAGCGGAGGA